UUAGAAAAGAGAGAUUUAAAAGAUUUUAGGUUUACUUGCCUUUUGCAUCAUGAUCAAUAGAUAUUUAAUUUGGUCUAAAUACUCUCGAAAAAGAUGUGAAAUUUUAUUUUUAUGUUGAGAACUUGAUUUUUAUUGAGUAAAUUUAAUUAUAAAAAAUAAAAGUUGUGAGACGCUAUUCGCACUCUUUUAUAACUAGUUAACAGAUUAUAAUUUUAAUAACAGGUAAAGCUAUGAGGUUUUUUCUGAGACUACACAAGGUUUGUUUUUAACUAUUUCUAGGAUGGAAAGUUUCCAAGAUAAAAAGUGUGUUAUAACAUAAUAAAAUUUUGUUCAUUGUUAGUUAAUAAAUUUUGUUAAAAUUUAAUUAGUUUAAUUAUUAAAAUUGUUGAAUUAGUAAUUUUUAAACACACCUUUAUUUUUUUGAUUUUAUUCGGACUGUUUAUCAAAAACAUUUUUUCUUAUUUAGCUAAGAAAUCAGACCUGCUCAAUGUGAUUUAUAAAUAGCCGCAUUAGCCUGAGUGUGCUAAGGUAGCAUAAUUACUAGCUCUUUAAUUGGGAGAUUGUUUGAACGGUUUAACCAGAAUAAAGAAAGUUUAGGAGUAAUAUUGAAUUUUAUUUGUUAGUACAGAUUCUAACAAAAAAAAUAGGGACGGGAAGACCCUAGGAGUUUUACAAUAUUUUGUUUUUUUGGGGCAAAACAGGAUUGUUCAUCUUGAUUAGGAUCCUUAAGGAAAAUGAUUAAAGUUACCCUAGGGAUAACAGGGUAAGAAGUAAAGAGAGAUCUAAUCGAUUUAUUUAAUUGCCACCUCGAUGUUGACUUAAGAAAAGUUUUUUGGCGCAGAUGCUAAAGAAACAGGUCUGUUCGACCUUUUAUUUCUUUCAUGAGUUGAGUUAAGACCGAUGUAAAUCAGGUUGGUUCCUAUCUUAUAAUUAUUUUUAAUAGUACGAAAGGAUUUUAAAAAUUUUAGUUU
rnacentral:rRNA from 1 species